rnacentral:rRNA from 1 species
ACUCAAAGGAAUAGACGGGGGCCCGCACAAGCGGUGGAGCAUGUGGUUUAAUUCGAUGCAACGCGAAGAACCUUACCUGGGUUAGACAACGUAGGACAGGUGUAGAGAUACGCCCUUCUCUUCGGAGACCUGCGGUUCAGGUGCUGCAUGGCUGUCGUCAGCUCGUAUCGUGAGAUGUCGGGUUAAGUCCCUUAACGAGCGCAACCCUUGUCCUUAGUUGCCAUCAUUUAGUUGGGCACUCUAAGGAGACCGCCGGCGUUAAGCCGGAGGAAGGCGGGGAUGACGUCAAGUCCUCAUGGCCCUUAUGUCCAGGGCUACACACGUGCUACAAUGGCCGGUACAAAGGGUUGCCAACGCGCAAGCGGGAGCUAACCUCAGAAAGCCGGUCUCAGUUCGGAUUGGAGUCUGCAACUCGACUCCAUGAAGCUGGAAUCGCUAGUAAUCGCGGAUCAGAACGCCGCGGUGAAUACGUUCCCGGGCCUUGUACACACCGCCCGU